UAUGAGAGUUUGAUCCUGGCUCAGGACGAACGCUGGCGGCGUGCCUAAUACAUGCAAGUCGAACGCUUCUUUUCCCACCGGAGCUUGCUCCACCGGGAAAAGAGGAGUGGCGAACGGGUGAGUAACACGUGGGUAACCUGCCCAUCAGAAGGGGAUAACACUUGGAAACAGGUGCUAAUACCGUAUAACAAUCGAAACCGCAUGGUUUCGUUUUGAAAGGCGCUUUACGGUGCCGCUGAUGGAUGGACCCGCGGUGCAUUAGCUAGUUGGUGAGGUAACGGCUCACCAAGGCCACGAUGCAUAGCCGACCUGAGAGGGUGAUCGGCCACAUUGGGACUGAGACACGGCCCAAACUCCUACGGGAGGCAGCAGUAGGGAAUCUUCGGCAAUGGACGGAAGUCUGACCGAGCAACGCCGCGUGAGUGAAGAAGGUUUUCGGAUCGUAAAACUCUGUUGUUAGAGAAGAACAAGGGUGAGAGUAACUGUUCACCCCUUGACGGUAUCUAACCAGAAAGCCACGGCUAACUACGUGCCAGCAGCCGCGGUAAUACGUAGGUGGCAAGCGUUGUCCGGAUUUAUUGGGCGUAAAGCGAGCGCAGGCGGUUUCUUAAGUCUGAUGUGAAAGCCCCCGGCUCAACCGGGGAGGGUCAUUGGAAACUGGGAGACUUGAGUGCAGAAGAGGAGAGUGGAAUUCCAUGUGUAGCGGUGAAAUGCGUAGAUAUAUGGAGGAACACCAGUGGCGAAGGCGGCUCUCUGGUCUGUAACUGACGCUGAGGCUCGAAAGCGUGGGGAGCAAACAGGAUUAGAUACCCUGGUAGUCCACGCCGUAAACGAUGAGUGCUAAGUGUUGGAGGGUUUCCGCCCUUCAGUGCUGCAGCUAACGCAUUAAGCACUCCGCCUGGGGAGUACGACCGCAAGGUUGAAACUCAAAGGAAUUGACGGGGGCCCGCACAAGCGGUGGAGCAUGUGGUUUAAUUCGAAGCAACGCGAAGAACCUUACCAGGUCUUGACAUCCUUUGACCACUCUAGAGAUAGAGCUUCCCCUUCGGGGGCAAAGUGACAGGUGGUGCAUGGUUGUCGUCAGCUCGUGUCGUGAGAUGUUGGGUUAAGUCCCGCAACGAGCGCAACCCUUAUUGUUAGUUGCCAUCAUUUAGUUGGGCACUCUAGCAAGACUGCCGGUGACAAACCGGAGGAAGGUGGGGAUGACGUCAAAUCAUCAUGCCCCUUAUGACCUGGGCUACACACGUGCUACAAUGGGAAGUACAACGAGUCGCGAAGUCGCGAGGCUAAGCUAAUCUCUUAAAGCUUCUCUCAGUUCGGAUUGUAGGCUGCAACUCGCCUACAUGAAGCCGGAAUCGCUAGUAAUCGCGGAUCAGCACGCCGCGGUGAAUACGUUCCCGGGCCUUGUACACACCGCCCGUCACACCACGAGAGUUUGUAACACCCGAAGUCGGUGAGGUAACCUUUUUGGAGCCAGCCGCCUAAGGUGGGAUAGAUGAUUGGGGUGAAGUCGUAACAAGGUAGCCGUAUCGGAAGGUGCGGCUGGAUCACCUCCUUUCUAAGGAA
rnacentral:rRNA from 1 species